AGAUUAGCUAGUUGGUGGGGUAAAGGCCUACCAAGGCGACGAUCUGUAGCUGGUCUGAGAGGAUGAUCAGCCACACUGGGACUGAGACACGGCCCAGACUCCUACGGGAGGCAGCAGUGGGGAAUAUUGGACAAUGGGCGCAAGCCUGAUCCAGCAAUGCCGCGUGUGUGAAGAAGGCCUUCGGGUUGUAAAGCACUUUCAUUUGGGAGGAAAGCNCNUCGGCUAAUACCUGNNGGANUUGACUUUNCCNCNAGAAAAACCACCGGCUAACUC
rnacentral:rRNA from 1 species